rnacentral:tRNA from 1 species
GGUCCUAUGGUAUAGUGGCUUAUUAUAUCCGCCUGUCACGCGGGUGAUACGAGUUCGAUUCUCGUUGGGACCGCCA